ACUCCUGCAGAAGGCCAAGGAGAGGUGGAGAUGGGACCGGGAGAGGUGGAGAUGGGACCGGGAGAGGUGGAGGAGGAGGUGGGACCGGGAGAGGUGGAGGAGGAGGUGGGACCGGGAGAGGUGGAGGAGGAGGUGGGACCGGGAGAGGUGGAGGAGGAGGUGGGACCGGGAGAGGUGGAGGAGGAGGUGGGACCGGGAGAGGUGGAGGAGGAGGUGGGACCGGGAGAGGUGGAGGAGGAGGUGGGACCGGGAGAGGUGGAGGAGGUGGGACCGGGAGAGGUGGAAGGGAGAUGGGACCGGGAGAGGUGGAGAUGGGACCGGGAGAGGUGGAGAUGGGACCGGGAGAGGUGGAGAUGGGACCGGGAGAGGUGGAGGUGGAGAUGGGACCGGGAGAGGUGGAGGUGGAGAUGGGACCGGGAGAGGUGGAGGGGGAGAUGGGACCGGGAGAGGUGGGGGGGAGAUGGGACCGGGAGUGGUAGAGAUGGGACCGGGAGUGGUAGAGAUGGGACCGGGAGAGGUAGAGAUGGGACCGGGAGAGGUAGAGAUGGGACCGGGAGAGGUAGAGAUGGGACCGGGAGAGGUAGAGAUGGGACCGGGAGAGGUAGAGAUGGGACCGGGAGAGGUAGAGAUGGGACCGGGAGAGGUGGAGGGGAGGGGAGAUGGGACCGGGAGAGGUGGAGAUGGGACCGGGAGAUGGGACCGGGAGAGGUGGAGAUGGGACCGGGAGAGGUGGA